ACAAACCAAGUGCUUUAUAUACACUAUCUCAUUUAAUCCUCAGCAUGACCCUGGAAGAUACACUCAUAUUCCCAUUUGAAAGAUACGAAAAUAAAGGUUCUGGGAGUUAGUACAGAAGGGGAAAAUGGGGCAGGACAGACAUGUCAACACAUUUUGGAGUAGAAAGUAGACAAAAGAAUGAAGAAUGAGGAGCUGUGCAGUCGAAGUGCCUGCAGAAUGCUGUAGUGAAAAGGACUGAGCCAGUUCACUUCAUCAGCCCCCAGAAAGGCUCAGAAGUUGGUGCUUCAAGACUUCUGAGGCAUUCACUGUUUACAGAAUAGUUCAAUCACUCGAUCACCUCCU
rnacentral:lncRNA from 1 species